GACAGAGAAAGAGAGAGAGGUAUUUGGGGUUUGUCUUUUCACAGGAGCUCUGGGGGUCAUCCUGCCAGUGACCGUUGCGCGCCGGUCAGGCAUGGGAAGGCGUCGCCACGAGCCUGAAGCUCAGUGGCUCUACCGGGCUUCGAGGUCACCGUCGUGUCCCCGAAACCCCCCCAGAGCUGAAGCUAAAGCCUGAGACAAGUCCUAUCUAUACUACUUUAUGACAGCAUAAUGACAUCACUGGUGACACGGAGUAGUAGUGGGCGGAGUUUGGAGGCUGAGAGGUUAUUGCCCUGAAUUUAUCCCUCCAUGAUGACAGAC